CUUGAAAUUCAAACCGACCGCUUUUCCGUUAGCCACGACUUCCAAAAUGGCGCCGAUCGUCGAAGAGCCGGAAUGCACGCUUCACGAAUAUUUGAAUGUUCUAUUCGACAGAAAACAAUGGGCAAGCUUCACCAACCCCCCGCAAGAUGGCGGUGGACGUUCCCAGGUGAGCGAGCGCAUUGCGCACGCGUGCGACCCGCUCGAGCCACGCUCGGCUCGCUGGUGUCAGUAGUGGUGCGGCGCUUGUGGUGUUUGGUUGGUGUCAUUCAUCGCAGCCGAGACGACAGACCGAUUCCAGCGGCGUUACCGUUGAAAAAUGGGCACAACCUAGUCCGCAUGGAAAAAUCGAGCGCGAGCUCCGCGGAAGAGGAUGAGUCGCGCGAUUUGACCAGUACCACCGACCAGCAAUAUAAAUUCAGUACAAAGGAGAGGCUAAAACCAAAAGCUAGAGGACGCGAGCUAAAGAAAAAGAGACCGACGGAAAGAAAACGACAGGAAACGCACAGACGAGUAUGAGGUGAACAAAGGAAAGGAAAGGAAAUUUAUGGAAAGAGAGAUUUCCCCAAAGGGUCGAGCUAUUCCAAGCGGAACGGACAAAUAAGGAAAACAUACGGGGAAAGCCGGAAGCGAGGACAAUCUUCACCAAAGUUACCUAAUUACUAAUUAACGUUAAUCGAAUCGAAGCGAGAGCUCGCUCGGAUUCGAAUUUUUAACGACGACCGAGACGCGUCUCUGCUCGUUUCGAAAACUGUACCGACAGUUGACGCGCAAAGAUUAUUAUCGUCAUCCAUUAAUUUAUUAUCGAUGAUUAUUGUUAAACGUUUAAGAGGAUAUUUCGCUGUUUAAGAGGCACACACAUAAACGAUAAUAAGAACCAGAGAAUCGGAGGGAUUCGUGUAUUUUGAUUGUAUCGAUUGAACGCGCGAGGAAAUUUUCUGCUGAGAGAGAAGAAGAGAGCGAAUUUUAGAAUACAAUCAAUUUAACGAAACGAGCAUUUUAACUAUUAAGCAUUUUAGAGAUUUAAGAAAGUAUAUGUAGGUGUUAAAAUUAUAUAUAUAUAAUACAGAGAGAGAGAUAGAGAGUCCAUGGGGUCCAUGUUUUAAGAGAUUAUAAGGAACAAGUAAAAAUCGUUUUUAUUGUUGCUACUUGAGGAAAAGGGAGAACGUACUUCCGAAGAAAAACAAGGAGAAUAAAGAGGAAAAUUUGAGCAAAGAAAGUAUCAAACGAAGCAGAGCGGACCGCAGAAUAUAUCCGUCGAGUAGAAGAAUGUUGCAUUAAGUUGUGAAAUUAAGAACCGUCAUUAUGAAUCUGGAAGUGGAGCUCAUCGCGGGGGUGAUUAAGGGCGGACCACCCCCUAAGAAUUUACCCGCGCCGAGGCUGAUUAAAAUAUUCAUCGCUGGAGAAUGGAAUGAAUUCAUCAAUGAAAGGCAGCAGUUCUUGGAGCUGGUUGGGCCUGAAUUGCAAUCGAUGUACGACGACAUGGGAAUCGAGGUGCUGUUGGUGGACAUGCAUUAUGCAACGAACGCGAAUCCUGAUAGAAAUCCGUUCUUGGCUGAACACUUCCUGGAUGAAAUACGUGCUGCUUAUCAACAUUCUAGGGGUUGUUUCUUCCUGUUGCUCGUGGGAGACGAGUACAGCGCUGGCUGGCUACCAACGAAACUCACUGAGGAUACUUACGACAUUCUUUCUAGCCAGUGCACCAUGAUGGAGGAGUAUUACGAACACGACAGUAAUUGUUAUACCCUGAAGGCUGGCAGCUACAGGGCAGCCAGCGAUAGUUGGCAGAGCAACGAACCGCCGAUCAGGGAGGCCAUAAAGAAAGCAGCAGAGGCCAUUGUUUCAGAGAAGAGGGAUAACGAAGAGAUUCGAAAUAUACUGAAGAGUUCCGCGGAGAGGCAGUUGGAGUAUGCUUUAAUGUUGGACGAGACGCGCGAGGGCAUCGUAGCUGUGACAAGAACGUGGAAAGGUAAAAAGAGCCCGAAAUCGGUGGCGUCGCUCAGGUCCCUGGUGGCGGAGAAUCUUCCGGUCGACAACAUAAUAAACGUGGAAGUGGAACAGGAGCCGGCCGGCAUCAAUCCGAGCCACAGAUCGCACAAAGUCUACCUGGCUCACGUCUGCCGUUUACUCGUGAACCGCGUACAAACCCUGGUGAACGCGUCCAUCGCAGCCGACCCCGAGAUCAAGAGCAAAAAGAAAAUGGUACAGGAGAUCUACGCAGAGAGUCUGAUGCACAUCGCUCUUCUGAGAAACGUCGAGCCCUGCGACGAGCACAACGAACACGUGGAGAGGAUCAAGGAGCUUCUAAUAACCGGUAAAUGCCAGAAACACGGACCAAUACUGGUGAAAGGCGGGAAAUACUCGGGCAAGUCAUCGUUGCUGUCUCGGAUCUACACGGACGCCGGCACGUGGCUGGAUCGAUCGACAUUCCGCGUGGUGCGACUCUGCUCCUCGACGCCCCGCUCCGCGUACAGCCUCGAGCUGCUUCGAGUGCUCUGUCAGCACGUCGGCUUCCUCUCGGGUCAAUUGGACGGUAACCUGCCAAAAGACGCCUCGUUCGAUCCGCUCUAUUUGAACAACUGGUUCGGCCAGAUCAUGAGGAGGAUCGAGGAGGACCCGUUGCACGAGCAGCUGCUGAUCCUGAUCGACGAUCUCCAUCGAUUGCACCCGUUGGAGUGCGACAUCAUCGCGGCCCUUUCGUGGCUUCCUUUGAACUUGCCGCCGGGUGUGCAUCUGGUGGUGACCACCGCUAUUCCACCGGAAAUGCUUCGCUUAACCCCAAUGCAAAAGGAACGAUUACGCAGCUCCCAGAUCCUCGUCGAGCUUCAGGAUUCGUCGACGGAUCCACAGGAGACGGAGACUGUGUUCGAUCAAUUGGAAAGAUUAGUGGGCCGAUGCGCGGCCGACAGGAUCGGCGCGAUUUUGGCCUCGACGGAGUACGGUCUCUCGGAAACGGAAGUCCUCGAAUUGGUCAUGCCAACGGUUGGCGACGGUCCUCUGUUCCUCAAGGACGGAAUGUUCAAUUUCUCGACCUGGUGCCUGGUCAGGCGAACGUUCGACGAUUCCCUGAAGGUUCGCGUGAUGAGCGGCAGGCUGUUGUUCUCCUGGCGCUAUCCAAUCCGAGACCAGGCCAGGAAACGGUACUUCCCGAACCAGGAGAUUCUGAAGAUGUAUCACGGCGAGCUGGCGAAUUUAUUCUUCUCGGAGGAGUUCGAGGAGAAGGACGACAAGUCCUCUCCGGAGGAGGAGACACCGAAGAAGACGCCGUUUCAGAGCAGACCCAGGUCGAACGACACCGCCUACAAUCUAAGACACGUGGAGGAAGCCUGGCUGCAUUUGUUGAGAGCUGGGGACGUUGAGAAGCUGAAGAAGCUGGCCGUGUGCGCGUUUGAUUUCCUCCUGGCAGCCGUGCAAAUGGUUUCUGUCAGUUACUUGAGGUGCGUCCUCGAGCAUUCGCGGAGGUAUCUGCUGGAGAGGGACUUGGAAUUGGUUUAUUACACCGUGAGGAAGUGCAGCGACAUUUUAACCAGAGAUCCUCUCCAGCUGGGCGCUCAGCUGAUCUGCUGGUUGAGGCCUGUGGCCGAGGAUGCCGGUGACUUGGUUAGCAGGAUGGUAACAGCAGCGAUGGCGUGGUGCGAUGGUUUCACAGCGCCACUGUUGGUGCCGUUGAACGGCUGGCUUCAGCCACCUUUGCCACUUCAGAUCCGCACACUGUCUUGCCCGCAGGGGGUUAAACUGGUGGAGGUUGCCCCGUCCGGGCAACACGUGAUCGUUGUGCCGUUUCAAGGGGAUCCCCAACUCUGGCACGUCAUGUCCGCUCAAUUGGUUCACACGUUCAAAGGCCACUCGAACCCAAUAUCAUGCUUAGCCGUGACACAACACUCGCAAUACUUGCUGACAGGCUCCGAGGACACGUCCAUCAUCGUUUGGGACAUGAAAGAGCUCAGUUUAAAGCAAAGAAUACGGGAACAUAUCGCGCCCGUUCUGUGUUUGACCACUGCGCUCAAGAACACUGUGAUUGUCAGCGGCGGCGAAGACUCGAGGAUCAUCAUCACUCGCCUGCUGACCGGAUACGUGCUGCGCAAAGUAGACCAUCAUCGAGGCCCGGUGAACUCCGUCCGCGUCAACUCCGCCGGCGAGAUCCUGGUCUCCGGCUCGUCCGAUUGCACCGUGUGCAUCUGGUGCCUGGAGAAGUUCACAUUGCUGAAGAGCAUAUCGCUGCCCGCCGCGGUGACGAUGCUCGACGUGUCGGCCGACUCGCUGUUCCUGUUGGUCGCCUGCGAGGACCAGAAGCUGUACCUGCGGUCCCUCGCGACUGGCACGGAGAUCCACACGCUCAGAGGACACCAAGGCGACACGAAGAGCAUUUGCCUGGCCAAGGACUGCAGGAGAGCCGUGGUGGGCGGCGUCAAGGGGAAAGUCUCCGUGUUCGACAUGCACAGCGGAAGAUUGACCAGGACGUUGCCCGCCAAUCCCUCGGCGGACGUAUCCGCUGUGAAAGUGACGGAGAAAGACGACUUCCUGAUCACCGCUGCCGGGGACCGGGUCACCUAUUGGAGCUUCCGGGGCGAAGAGGCGUUUCUCAAGUCCUUGAAGUCGGGGAAACAGGAAUCCUUGCACCCGCACACGGCGUCGAUCACUUGCCUGGACAUCUCGAGGGACGGCGCCAUGGCGGUGACCGGCGGCGUCGACUCGUUGGUGAACCUUUGGCAGCUGAACACUCACGAGCUGCUCUCCACUUUCGAGGGUCACAUCGCUAGCGUCACUUGCAUCGCGUUCUCUGCUUCCGGCUUGUUCGUCGCGUCCGGCUCGGAAGACAAGACGGUUCGGGUUUGGGGGCUGACCUUGGGCCUGAUGGUGGCGACGUUUAGGCAUCAGGCGCCGGUCACGUCGGUGACCGCCAUGUUCGACGGCAGGAGGAUCGUCAGUUCCGACAGAGGGGGCGCGAUCCGAGUUUGGGCAGCCGACUCGGGCACCCUGAUUCAGUCCGUAUGCGGACGCGGCCGGUGCAUCACCGUCUCCUCCGACAUGAAGUUCGCCGUGUGCGACACGGGAGACAAUCAGGUGCGAAUAGUAAGCCUGGGAACUGGUCCAGAAGAGAAAUACCAGGUGUCGCAUUCUCAGGACAUCACUUGUCUGGUGGUAACUCCAGACUCGCAGUCUCUGAUCACGGGAUCGAUGGACAUGAGCCUGAAAGUGUGGCAGCUCGCCGGAGGCAAAUUGUCUCAGGUUCUAGUCGGUCACACCGACCAUGUAACCUGCGUCGCGGUUUCCAUGUUGGACAAGUCGGUAGUGGUCUCCGGCUCGAGGGACGCGAACCUGAUCGUCUGGGACAUCAACACCGGCGCGGACCUUCACACGCUGAAGGGACACCUGGGUUUCAUCACCUGCGUGAAAUUGUCCGGCGACGGGACGCUGGCUGCUUCGGGGAGCGAGGACAAAAGUUUGAUCGUUUGGGACACGAAGAAAGGCUGUUCUUUGAGCAGCAUCAUGCUUCACGUGCCAGUGGUUGGCCUGGAAGUGGGCAUGGACCUGUCCAGGCUGGCUCUGCACCUGCUCGAGCACAAAUGCAUGCCGAUACUCUGUCUGCACAACACUCCCGCGCAGUACGUCAAGCUGCCCGACUACGUCGCGCCCUGGUCCGACAUACGGGACUUGAGGCCGUCCGGCCCAAAGAGGCCCAAUAAGAGGCUGCUGAAGAAAGAGGUGUCUCUGGACAGCGACACUUGGCGCAGGAAGUACGGCCAUCUCACUUCGGGCAUAUCCUCGUCGUCGGUGGAGAAUCUACAGCGACGGUUCAGCGUGAGCGCCUCGAUGGACGAGAUCAGUAAGGUUGGAUUGGCCAGCAGUCCUUCGGGGCUGGGCCCGGAACAGGCUGCUCUAGCCCAGUCGCAGCAUUUCGAUCAGCUGGAGGCGCUCUGGAACAAACAGUCGCCGCCAUCCAGGUCGCGAUCUCACGGUAGAACCCUCUCCAAGCAGAGUUCUCUGCAAGCAACGCGGAUCUCCGACUCGGAGGAAGAGGGUCUGCCGGUUUAAAGGAGUUGCUCUUUUAGAGACGCGAUGGAGGUCGAGCUCCGAAGAAUCCUAAUCGUCGUACCUUGUUCCCUCUUCGACGAAGCGGAGGAGAAUUGGAGAGCAGACAGGAGAAAAAACGGAAAAGAUAAAAAUCGAAACGUACGUCCCCCGGUCAGCGAACUUCUAAUUUACGGAAUAUUCUCGUAUCCGAUGCAAUAAACGUGUAUAUACGAAACCUUCGUAUACACACGCGAUUAUCGAUAUUUAGAGAGGGAUAAAUCGAGCUCGUUUACUUCCAUCUUUUCCACCGAGAUUACGGGUAAAUCGGUUUCUCGCUUCGUGAAUUGUUGAUGGUUUGUUCGUUUCGUUACGCGGCAACUAACGUGUAUAUAAUUUAUAUAUAUAUAAAUUAUAUAUAUAUAUAUGUAUUAUUUAUAUUAUUCAACGUGAUAGUUGGAGACAGUUUACGCUUACAAAAGUGAUCAUUCGUUUUUACAGGGGAAUUACGUGUGUGUGUGUUUGGUGUUGCGUUGCUCGGUGUUUGCGUUGCUCUGUUUCUUCUCGUAAUAGUCCGCCAUUACUCGCCAGGCGCCGGGCGCCAUGAAUCCUUCCGGUGGAUUUUCCCCGGAUCUCGCUAAUUCUGUAAGAAAAAGACAUCGGUUCGUUGUUGAGUUCUCUUUCUCGACAUAGCGGGUUCUAAGCGAGAAUUUCAUUUAUUAGUUGAAUUAGUUUCGACUUCUCGGGAAAGUACGUCUACAAGCAGGAAUAUCCAAAGAAACGAGAAACGUUAGUUCGUUCGGUAAACGAUUCGAUCACCAUUUAUCCAACGCCAAUAUCGAUUCCCGUGCUUUAACGUUCAAUUGAGAUUUGUUGAGUUUCCAAUGUUCAAGCGAAUAUCGAAUAUUUAGUGUCUUGUUUAGCGGACAGGUAUAUAUAUACAUCCGAGGUAAUUAUUAUUUUCGAAUCGCACACGUUCGCCGUUAUUAAUAAUUUCUCGACCAGGUGUUGUGUAUCGCGCACGAGGCUCAGCUAGUUUUUAAACAUCCGUUGCUUUCUCGAAGUUGAUAUGUACCGUUAAUGCACAACGUUGUCCGUCAAGUGUUUUAGUGUUAACGUCGAUCUUGAAUUUUAACGUCUGAUAUCAAUAUGAAUUUUGUACGUUUAUAUUAAAUUGAAAGUUUUAUUUCCAAUAGUAAUACGAACGAGUUGAACUCUAUAUGUUUACUGUGCCGCAUCGAAAUCUCCCUCGGUGAAACGCAAAGUGUUUCAACGUCUCGCGACUCGCGUUUCUAUUACGUCGAAUCGUUAUGAAAAGUGUCAGCCGACCUCGCAUUUUAGUUCCCGAUAUGAAACUGAAGUCCUGAGACCGUUCCUGCUCGAAGAACGCCAUUUUCUUCGCCCUGUUGUCGUAAGCAGCCACUCUGAACGGGAUUAUCUCCAGGUUCUGGAGACCAGGCGCCAUCGACAACACUCUGGACCCGUGUGUCGCAUCGUACAGGUUGCCUGAGUGCACGGAUACAAUUAUUUCUUUGAAUUAAACAGUUUUUUCUUUCACCGGUAAGUGAAGCGAAAUGUCAACGACGCUGACAGGGGCUCGAUCGAACUCCCGUUUCAUUCUUAUCUUUUGUUAUACGUAUUUCUAGUUGUCUUUGUUACCGUCCGGUGUUUUCGACUUGUCGGGAUGCGGUAGACCAGCCGGAUCACGACCAACGAUGUAGAAAUCUGCCCCGGCCAUCAUUCUCGCUUUGGCGUGCCAUUGCACCUGUCGAGAAGCGUCGCAUUUGUGAAAGUAGCUAUUCGAGCGAGCUGUUUAUUAUCUAUAGUACCUCUGUGGGUCCCGCGUACAACAUAGGACUGGGAAAGACGGCGAGAAUGGUGUCCGGGUGUAACACGCCUUCUUCCAGGACGGACUCGUGUUGCUUUAUCCGUAUUGGCAACGGCACGUCAUCCUCCUUCGUCCAUCCUCCCAGAGGAUGCAACAGAAGCACCGGCUUUUUGAAACCUCGUUCCUCCACAAGGUACUCGUUUUCCCUCAUGAAACCCCUUAAAGGGUUUGCCCAGCCCUCGGCGAGCACUUGGACCCAUUGCAAGUCGAUGUCAUUGAUGUCGAUACCUGAAGAAACAACAUUUCCCGUUUCACUUCUGGAAAUUCCAACAUCUUGCAUGGAAUUCGAAUUUUAGGAAGAACCUACUGAGAAGACCCUCCGCCUCCUGUCUGACGCUGUCGACCCUCUCGCUGCCAACGAAAAGCUCCUCCACGCCUCUGGGUAUCUUGGGGACGAUCUCCUCCCUCUCCAAAAGAUUUAUCACCAUGUUCGUCGAUUUCUCCACGCUGUGGAUCUCCGUGUUCACUAUCAGAUCCGGCUGACUGGGUACUUCGUACUGCUGGCCGACCCCUGUGAAGCUCGGUAUCACCCCUUUCCGAGCCUUCUUGUACAGCCCUUUCACGUCCCUCGCCUCGCAGAUGGCCAGCGAAGCUUCCACGUAGACCUCGAAGAACCUGAGCUCGUACUCCUCGAGGAUCUUCCUUGCCAGCCUCCUGUCAGCCUCGAAAGGCGACACGAAGCUGCAGAUCGCGAUCACACCGCAGUCGGAGAACAGUUUAGCGACCUCUGCGGCUCUGCGCACGUUCUCCUCGCGGUCCUCUUUCGUAAAGCCCAGAUUGCGAUUCAGCCCACGGCGGACGUUGUCGCCGUCCAGGCUGUACGCUGGUAUCCCCUGGGAAUUGUCGUUACAUUAGAAUUAAUUAGUAUUUUUAGAGAUUGCUUUUUGCCAAGCAAUUGGAACGACUCACUCGGAAUUUCUUCUGAAACCUAUUUUAUCGAUAGAUUCAUUUUUCUAAUUAUAUUUUUUACAUUUCUAUGACUAUUUAAAGUCAUAAUGGUAAUAGACUGCUUUACUGUGACAAACGGUCGCUAAACUGCAAUCUCUACGGGGAUGUAGAAAAUAGUUUUCAGUCGCGAUUCUUUGUUUGGAGGAGAGACGACUGUAGAUUCACCUGCGAGAUGAGAUAAUUCUCGAGCUGAAAGGAGAUCGACGUCUUUCCAGCGCCGGACAGUCCCGUUAACCAAAUGGUACAGCCACGAAAUCCUUUGAAUCUACCGUAAGACUCUCCUCGUUUCUCCCGUGAUACAUGAUGGAUCUGCUGUGUCACGUUCGACGCUAUUAUCUAUGAACACAGCCCACGAAUAUUCGCAAUUACUCAUUUUCUCGUUUCACAUGAAAUUUCAAAUAUUCUCGAAGCGAUUCGUACGCUUGAUUAUCGUUUGCGAACAUAAAUAUAGAAGUAUUUAAACGUUGACAAGUGAAACUUCAAACGCGCGUAAUUAAUUCGAAGAAGGUCAAAUAUCCAGUCGCCGGAAUUCCUAGAGAAUUCUAUACGAUUAGUUAGCGUCCGAAAAUCGUCGGAAAGAUCGUGCAACGAAAUUACAUAAGAUUUUAUCGAAUUGUCCGUGUUCCGAGUACCUUAUCUGCUUUCCUGCGCGUGGAUCGUUCUUCCGCGUACGAGUUCAUGUAUAUUCCCAUUUUGAGAAUGCUACUGGAACACUUUAUUCUACAAUACAAUAUUUCAGAUGGAACUUAUCAACUUUCACAGCGAUUCACGAGUGUCUAAAACAAUAUAAACUCGAUUUAAUUCGAAACCGCGUAUAUUCCCAUUUCAAAAACGGUCCCCUAACGGUUUCUUCGAUUUCACACCGAAUUUUUCUACUCGUUCGACAUUCUGAACGAUCCCGAAAUUCGUGGAGAAACAGGAACCCGACUCGAUUAGGAAUUCAUGUGUAUUCCCAUUUGGCGGAAUCGACGCUUCCAAUUUCCACGGUGCUCUAAUAUCUGCCGGAAUGUAACGGUAACUCGAUUUAAUUACGUGGAGCUGAAUUGAUUCGCCUGGUAUCGUCGAUACACGGUUUUCGCAUCGUCCGUCCGGCCACAAAUGAUACGGCGAACCCGAAGAAAGUACUCGGAUGCACGGUGCGCGCUCGACUGACGAUGAUCCGGGCACUCGGGGACGAGAAAGUGAAACGAAAGUAGCCGAACGGAAGAAUUUCUCGAGAUACCUCGAAUACCGGGAUAGAGGAAAUCGUGGGCCGAUGGAUGUGAUUAUGGGACGCGAUGCGAACGAUGCUGAGACCCAUCUUCCACCCGUGUGUUUCGAGAACAUUCGUCGUCUUGACAAAUAAAUAACUAUGAAAAAUCAUUCUAUUUUCUUGUGUAAUUUUACACGAUUCUUAAUAUUAUUAUUAUUAUCGUUUUAUUAUAGUUUUUCGACAAGUCGAACGAGCAAACCUUUUAGCGGACGAAACGUGGAAUUCGAAAGUGUUUUCCCCCGAUUCGAUUCUGAAUUUUCUAUAAAAUUCGACGUGUCAUUUGUAAUCGGGAUACGAUGAACGAGACAGCU